AGAGUUUGAUCCUGGCUCAGAACGAACGCUGGCGGCGUGCUUAACACAUGCAAGUCGAACGGGAUCCAGAGCUUGCUCUGGUGAGAGUGGCGCACGGGUGAGUAACGCGUGGAUAACCUGCCCUGGUAUCUGGAAUAACAUCUCGAAAGGGGUGCUAAUACCGGAUAAGCCCACGGGGUCUUCGGACUCUGCGGGAAAAGGUGGCCUCUGAAUAUGCUACCGUAUCAGGAUGGGUCCGCGUACCAUUAGCUAGUUGGUAGGGUAAUGGCCUACCAAGGCUACGAUGGUUAGCUGGUCUGAGAGGAUGAUCAGCCACACUGGAACUGAGACACGGUCCAGACUCCUACGGGAGACAGCAGUGGGGAAUUUUGCGCAAUGGGGGAAACCCUGACGCAGCAACGCCGCGUGAGUGAUGAAGGCUUUCGGGUCGUAAAGCUCUGUCAGUAGGGAAGAAGUGUAAGGGUGCUAAUACCAUCUUUACUUGACGGUACCUACAAAGGAAGCACCGGCUAACUCCGUGCCAGCAGCCGCGGUAAUACGGAGGGUGCAAGCGUUGUUCGGAUUUAUUGGGCGUAAAGCGCGUGUAGGCGGUUUCUUAAGUCUGAUGUGAAAGCCCUGGGCUCAACCCAGGAAGUGCAUUGGAUACUGGGAGACUUGAAUACGGGAGAGGGUAGUGGAAUUCCUAGUGUAGGAGUGAAAUCCGUAGAUAUUAGGAGGAACACCGGUGGCGAAGGCGGCUACCUGGACCGAUAUUGACGCUGAGACGCGAAAGCGUGGGGAGCAAACAGGAUUAGAUACCCUGGUAGUCCACGCCGUAAACGAUGAGAACUAGGUGUUGCGGGUAUUGACCCCUGCAGUGCCGCAGCUAACGCAUUAAGUUCUCCGCCUGGGAAGUACGGUCGCAAGACUAAAACUCAAAUGAAUUGACGG
rnacentral:rRNA from 1 species